rnacentral:rRNA from 1 species
CGUACACUCCUGCGGGAGGCAGCAGUGGGGAAUAUUGCACAAUGGGCGCAAGCCUGAUGCAGCCAUGCCGCGUGUAUGAAGAAGGCCUUCGGGUUGUAAAGUACUUUCAGCGGGGAGGAAGGCGAUAAGGUUAAUAACCUUGUCGAUUGACGUUACCCGCAGAAGAAGCACCGGCUAACUCCGUGCCAGCAGCCGCGGUAAUACGGAGGGUGCAAGCGUUAAUCGGAAUUACUGGGCGUAAAGCGCACGCAGGCGGUCUGUCAAGUCGGAUGUGAAAUCCCCGGGCUCAACCUGGGAACUGCAUUCGAAACUGGCAGGCUAGAGUCUUGUAGAGGGGGGUAGAAUUCCAGGUGUAGCGGUGAAAUGCGUAGAGAUCUGGAGGAAUACCGGUGGCGAAGGCGGCCCCCUGGACAAAGACUGACGCUCAGGUGCGAAAGCGUGGGGAGCAAACAGGAUUAGAUACCCGGGUAGUCCCAUG